GACGAACGCUGGCGGCGUGCUUAACACAUGCAAGUCGAACGGAAAGGCCCUGCUUUUGUGGGGUGCUCGAGUGGCGAACGGGUGAGUUACCCGUGAGUAACCUGCCCUUGACUUUGGGAUAACUUCAGGACACUGGGGCUAAUACCGGAUAGGAGCUCCCGCUGCAUGGUGGGGGUUGGAAAGUUUCGGUGGUUGGGGAUGGACUCGCGGCUCAUCAGCUUGUUGGUGGGGUAGUGGCUUACCAAGGCUUUGACGGGUAGCCGGCCUGAGCGGGUGACCGGCCACGUUGGGAUUGGGAUACGGCCCAGACUCCUAUCGGAGGCAGCAGUGGGGAGUAUUGCACAAUGGGCGGAAGCCAGACGCAGCAACGCCGCGUGCGGGAUGACGGCCUGCGGGUUGGAAACCGCUUUCGCCUGUGACGAAGCGUGAGUGACGGUAAUGGGUGAAGAAGCACCGGCUAACUACGUG
rnacentral:rRNA from 1 species